rnacentral:rRNA from 1 species
CCUACGGGAGGCUGCAGUAGGGAAUAUUGCUCAAUGGGGGAAACCCUGAAGCAGCAACGCCGCGUGGAGGAUGAAGGUUUUAGGAUUGUAAACUCCUUUUGUGAGAGAAGAUAAUGACGGUAUCUCACGAAUAAGCACUGGCCAAUUCCGUGCCAGCAGCCGCGGUAAUACGGAGGGUGCCAGCGUUAUUCGGAAUCACUGGGCGUAAAGAGUGCGCAGGCGGGCUUGUAAGUCAGAUGUGAAAUCCUGUAGCUUAACUACAGCACUGCAAUUGAAACUAUGAGUCUAGAGUGUAGGAGAGGUAGGUGGAAUUCUUGGUGUAGGGGUAAAAUGCGUAGAUAUCAAGAAGAAUACUCAUUGCGAAGGCGGCCUACUGGAACAUUACUGACGCUCAUGCACGAAAGCGUGGGGAGCAAACAUGAUUAGAUACCCGGGUAGUC